AUACUUUUAUGAAUGGAGUUUUAGGCUCUAGUGGUACUCUCUAUCUCUCCCUAUUCCCUACCUAUAAGGGAUUAUGAGAAGCAAUAUAAAGAGUUAAAAGACCAUAUACAAACAAUAUCAACCAAAAUCUCUCUACUAUGAGUAGUUAUUUUGACACACUAACAUCCAAUUCCAAUGACCCAAGAACAAUCCACGCCCACAUAAUUAAAACAACAAACACAAACAUCCCAUGUUCUCUUCCUCUCCUCAAUAGGUUGAUCACUUUAUACUCAAAAUCCAAUCAUUUCUCCGAAGCUUUUGCAGUUUUCCGGCAAAUCCCAUGUCCCAACGUCGUCUCAUGGACUUCCUUAAUCUCUGGCAACCCAAAUUCUCCAGCCUCUCUGCGCCAUUUCAUCUCUAUGCUUCGCCAUCCUACUCGCCCAAAUCAGCGUACUUUAGCCUCCAUUAUCAAGACUUGUGCUACUCUUUCUCUCCUUUCCUUUGGGUACCAACUCCAUUGUCUCUCCUUGAAGCUCUGUAUCUCUUCCCAACCCUUUUGCGCUUCGGCCCUCGUUCAUUUUUAUUCGAAAUGCAGGUUUCCUGAUCAUGCCCGCAAAGUGUUCGAUGAAAUGCCUGAGGUGGACGAGAUUUGUUAUUCGUCUAUGGUUGUUGGGUUUUCUCAGAACUCACGUCCUGUUGAAGCUUUAAACCUUUUUUCUGAAAUGGUGUCCAGAAAUGUGCGUUCUACUGUGUAUAGUGUUUCAGGUGCAAUCGCUGCUAGUUCCGAACUUGCUUCUUUUGAGCAAUGUAGGGUAAUUCAUGGUCAUGGAAUUGUUACUGGGCUUAUCAAAGCUGUUUAUGUGAGUACUGGGUUGGUUACGGCCUAUGGUAAGUGUGGUAUGGUGUUGGAAGCUAGAAGGGUGUUUGAUGAGUCUUUGCAAGUUAUGAAUGUUGUGGGAUGGAAUGCAAUGAUGGCUUCUUAUGCUCAACAAGGAGAUAAUGCUUCAGUUCUUGAGCUUUUCGAUUCAAUUGAAUCUCGAGGACUUGUUGCUGAUGACUUUAGUUUCUUAGCUAUCUUGACAGCUUUGUACAAUGCAGGUUUGGCUGAUGAGACGGAGUGUUGGAUCAAACUUAUGAAAGAAAAAUAUGGUGUUAUUCCGUCUUUAGAGCAUUAUACAUGUUUAGUGGGUGUAUUAGGUAGAGUUGGUAGAUUGGAUGAUGCAGAGAGGAUUGCUAUGACAAUGCCAGUUAAGCCGGAUGCUGGGGUUUGGCGGGUUUUACUCUCAGCAAGUGCAGCUCAUGGUAAUGCUGAUGUUGCUUGGAGGAUGAGUAAACGACUAUUGAAACUCGACCCUUACGAUGAUUCUGCAUAUGUUAUUGCAGCUAAUACAUUUUCAGCUUCAGGGAGGUGGAAUGAAGCUGCAAAUGUUAGGAAGAUGAUGAAUAAUGUGAGGGUAAAGAAGGAAGGAGGGAGAAGUUGGAUGGAAGUUCGAGGUAAAGUACAUGUGUUUUUAGCAGGGGACAAUGAGCAUGAAAGGAUAGAAGACAUUUAUGCAAAACUUGCUGAACUUAUGAAGGGGAUUGAAAAAUUGGGUUAUGUACCAAAUUGGAGUGAGAUGUUACAUGAUGUAGAGCAAGGGGAGAAAAGAGAAGGGCUUUCAUAUCAUAGUGAAAAGUUGGCAUUGGCAUUUGGGGUAUUAAGUGGGGCAGCACCUUCUGGGAAGCCUUUGAGAAUUUUGAAGAAUCUAAGAAUUUGCAGGGAUUGUCAUGAAGCCUUCAAGUAUUUUAGCAGGCUUUUAGAAAGGGAAAUUAUUGUACGAGAUGUUAAUAGAUACCAUAGAUUUGUUGGUGGAAGUUGUACUUGUGGAGAUUAUUGGUAACUUAUUUAGAUCAUAGGGCACGGUGUAAAAUGCGGUUUCUAUAUUGAUGGUUUCACGAUGGUUUGACGGUCGUUGCAACCUAUAUUAGGGUCGUGAUGAGCUCAAAAUCCUUUACAAUAAGUUCGCAAUAUAGUGAUGCUGACGAAAUUUUGUACUAUGCUAUAGAGGGUUAGAAUGUUACCAGCUAUGGAUAUUGGCAAAUUGCUUGUUGUUUCCAACCAGUUGGGUGCCAAAAAACCAUGGAUGCAGUGCGGUGGAUACACAAGAUUAGAACGUGAAUUGCUUUCUUUGAAGAGUUUGAACGCGUUUUAGUCUCCUUGUUAUAUGAUCAAAUUUUCUGAGGGCUUCCUAAAGCAUAUUGUG